GAGCGUAGGUGGCCUAACAUGUCAACUGUGAAAACCCGGAGCUCAACUCCGGACUUGCAGUUGAAACUGGUAGGCUUGAGGACGGUAGAGGAAGACGGAACUGCCAGUGUAGGGGUAAAAUCCUUAGAUAUUGGCAGGAACGCCGGUGACGAAGGUGGUUUUCUGGGCCGGUUCUGACACUGAUGCUCGAAAGCCAGGGGAGCGAACGG
rnacentral:rRNA from 1 species